rnacentral:misc_RNA from 1 species
UUAUGGAACACCAUCAAAAAGGAUUGAUUUCAGGGAGAGGGAAUGGGAUCGAGAACGUGAUAGGGAUUUUGAGCUCAUGCCACCUCCAGGGAUUAAGAAGGAUUUCAAUGUCUCUGUUGAUGUUGAUCAACCCAUUGAUCCAAACGAACCUACCUACUGUGUCUGCCACCAGGUGUCCUUUGGAGAUAUGAUUGCCUGUGACAAUGAAAAUUGCGAGGGAGGUGAAUGGUUCCACUACGCAUGUGUUGGUCUGACACCAGAAACGAGGUUCAGGGGAAAAUGGUAUUGUCCAACCUGCAGACUGCUACCUCAAUGUCAAUGAUAAUAUGUACAUGAAUUUCAUUAUUUCAGCU